rnacentral:rRNA from 1 species
UUCGUAGGGUGCGAGCGUUAAUCGGAAUUACUGGGCGUAAAGCGUGCGCAGGCGGUUCGCCGUGUCCGAUGUGAAAGCCCCGGGCUUAACCUGGGAAUGGCAUUGGUGACUGCACGGCUAGAGUGUGUCAGAGGGGGGUAGAAUUCCACGUGUAGCAGUGAAAUGCGUAGAGAUGUGGAGGAAUACCGAUGGCGAAGGCAGCCCCCUGGGAUAACACUGACGCUCAUGCACGAAAGCGUGGGGAGCAAACAGG